rnacentral:rRNA from 1 species
GAUCCCAUCAGAACUCCGCAGUUAAGCGUGCUUGGGCGAGAGUAGUACUAGGAUGGGUGACCCCCUGGGAAGUCCUCGUGUUGCAUCCUU